rnacentral:rRNA from 1 species
AUUGAACGCUGGCGGCAGGCCUAACACAUGCAAGUCGAGCGGAUGAAGGGAGCUUGCUCCUGGAUUCAGCGGCGGACGGGUGAGUAAUGCCUAGGAAUCUGCCUGGUAGUGGGGGAUAACGUCCGGAAACGGGCGCUAAUACCGCAUACGUCCUGAGGGAGAAAGUGGGGGAUCUUCGGACCUCACGCUAUCCGAUGAGCCCAGGUCGGAUUAGCUAGUUGGUGGGGUAAAGGCCUACCAAGGCGACGAUCCGUAACUGGUCUGAGAGGAUGAUCAGUCACACUGGAACUGAGACACGGUCCAGACUCCUACGGGAGGCAGCAGUGGGGAAUAUUGGACAAUGGGCGAAAGCCUGAUCCAGCCAUGCCGCGUGUGUGAAGAAGGUCUUCGGAUUGUAAAGCACUUUAAGUUGGGAGGAAGGGCAGUAAGUUAAUACCUUGCUGUUUUGACGUUACCAACAGAAUAAGCACCGGCUAACUUCGUG